rnacentral:rRNA from 1 species
CGAGCGGCAACAGAAAAAGCUAGUACAGUUUUUGCUGGCAAGCGGCGAACGGGUGAGUAAUAUCUGGGGAUCUGCCCAAUGAAGGGGGAUAACUACUGGAAACGGUAGCUAAUACCGCAUAAUGUCGGGAGACUAAAGUGGGGGAUUAUAAAUGUAUUUUUAUAACCUCAUGUCAUUGGAUGAACCCAGACGAGAUUAGCUAGUAGGUAAGGUAAUGGCUUACCUAGGCUACGAUCUCUAGCUGGUCUAAGAGGAUGGACAGCCACACUGGAACUGAGAUACGGUCCAGACUCCUACGGGAGGCAGCAGUGGGGAAUAUUGCACAGUGGGGGAAACCCUGAUGCAGUCAUGCCGCGUGUGUGAAGAAGGCCUUAGGGUUGUAAAGCACUUUCAGCAGGUAAGAAGUUAGUUGUACUAAUAAUACAAUUAAUUGACGUCAACUGCAGAAGAAGCACCGGCUAACUCCGUGCCAGCAGCCGCGGUAAUACGGAGGGUGCGAGCGUUAAUCGGAAUUACUGGGCGUAAAGGGUACGUAGGCUGUUUAUUAAGUCGGAUGUGAAAUCCCUAAGCUUAACUUAGGAACUGCAUUCGAAACUGAUAUUCUAGAGUCUCGUAGAGGGGAGUAGAAUUCCAGGUGUAGCGGUGAAAUGCGUAGAGAUCUGGAGGAAUACCAGUGGCGAAGGCGACUCCCUGGACGAAGACUGACGCUCAGGUACGAAAGCAUGGGGAGCAAACAGGAUUAGAUACCCUGGUAGUCCAUGCCGUAAACGAUGUCGAUUUGAAGGUUGCAGAUAGUUAUAUUGUGGCUUUCGUAGCUAACGCGUUAAAUCGACCGCCUGGGAAGUACGGCCGCAAGGCUAAAACUCAAAUGAAUUGACGGGGGCCCGCACAAGCGGUGGAGCAUGUGGUUUAAUUCGAUGUAACACGAAGAACCUUACCUACUCUUGACAUCCAAAGAACUUAACAGAAAUGUUUUGGUGCCUUCGGGAACUUUGAGACAGGUGCUGCAUGGCUGUCGUCAGCUCGUGUCGUGAAAUGUUGGGUUAAGUCCCGCAACGAGCGCAACCCUUAUCCUUUGUUGCCAGCGAUACGGUCGGGAACUCAAAGGAAACUGCCAGUGAUAAACUGGAGGAAGGCGGGGAUGACGUCAGUCAUCAUGGCCCUUAACGAGUAGGGCUACCCACGUGCUACAAUGG